rnacentral:rRNA from 1 species
GGUUAAAGCUCGUAGUUGGAUUCCUGUUGAGGUCAGCCGGUGUGCUCCAUGAGCAUUAUUUGGUUUGGUCUCGGCAUCCUCCUGGGGAGCGUCUCUGGCCUUCGUUGGACAGGGCGAGAUUCAGGACUUUUACUUUGAGGAAAUUAGAGUGUUCACGGCAGGCAAGUGCUUUGAAUACAUUAGCAUGGAAUAAUAAUAUAGGACCUUCGUUCUAUUUUGUUGGUUUCUAGAGCUUAGGUAAUGAUUAAUAGGGACAAUUGGGGGCAUUCGUAUUAACGCGUCAGAGGUGGAAUUCUUGGAUUGCGUUACGACGAACUACUGCGAAAGCAUUUGCCAAAGAUGUUUUCAUUGAUCAAGAACGAAAGUAUGGGGAUCGAAGACGCUUAGAUACCGUCGUAGUCUAUACCAUAAACUAUGCCAACUAGAGAUUGGUGGGGUUCUCCUUUUUGGCUCCAUCAGCAUCUUAUGAGAAAUCAAAGUUUUUGGGUUCCGGGGGGAGUAUGGUCGCAAGGCUGAAACUUAAAGGAAUUGACGGAAGGGCACCACCAGGAGUGGAGCCUGCGGCUUAAUUUGACUCAACACGGGAAAACUUACCAGGUCCAGACAUAGUAAGGAUUGACAGAUUGAUAGCUCUUUCCUGAAUCCAUGGGUGGUGGUGCAUGGCCGUUCUUAGUUGGUGGAGUGAUUUUGUCUUGGUUAAUUCCGUUAACGAACGAGAUCUUAACCUGCUUAAUAGCGGUAAGUAUCCUCGGAUAUUUAUGUCGCUUCUUAGAGGGACUUUGUUUACAAUUCAAGUUCAAGGAAGUUUGACGCAAUAACAGGUCUGUGAUGCCCUUAGAUGUUCUGGGCUGCACGCGCGCUACACUGAUGCGUUCAACGAGUAUUUAACCUUGUCAG